rnacentral:tRNA from 1 species
GAGGAUAUAGCUCAGUGGUAGAGUGCGUGCUUAGCAUGCAUGAGGUCAUGGGUUCAAUACCCAGUACCUCU